CCUCAUGUGGCCUUCUCAGAUCAGUGCAUCCCUCUCAUAUGAUCAUGUACAUGUCUGGAGCAGUUGGUCUUGUUUUGUUGAACUCUGGACUACUGACAGCAGAACUCUUUUUGGAAACAUGGAACGGGGAGCGUAUCAUUAAGGAUCUAAGAAUCAUUGUCUUCCCCUGUGAAUGUGUUUUGGCUUUAUAUUGGAUAAUUAACUUCCGUUCUUUCUAAGUAUCUUAUAAUAUCUUUUUAAUGGAGACUCAGCUUUUUUUUUAAAUUUGCUAAAUAUUUUGACAUUCUAAAAAUUACAAUAAGGUAACAUGGCAUUUAAUUUUUUUCUCUCUCUUUCUAAUGCAUCCUGUCAUAUAGUGAAGAUUAGGCCUGAGUAAU